GAUGAACGCUGGCGGCGUGCCUAAUACAUGCAAGUCGAGCGAACAGACGAGGAGCUUGCUCCUUUGACGUUAGCGGCGGACGGGUGAGUAACACGUGGGUAACCUACCUAUAAGACUGGGAUAACUUCGGGAAACCGGAGCUAAUACCGGAUAAUAUUUCGAACCGCAUGGUUCGAUAGUGAAAGAUGGCUUUGCUAUCACUUAUAGAUGGACCUGCGCCGUAUUAGCUAGUUGGUAAGGUAACGGCUUACCAAGGCAACGAUACGUAGCCGACCUGAGAGGGUGUUCGGCCACACUGGAACUGAGACACGGUCCAGACUCCUACGGGAGGCAGCAGUAGGGAAUCUUCCGCAAUGGGCGAAAGCCUGACGGAGCAACGCCGCGUGAGUGAUGAAGGUCUUCGGAUCGUAAAACUCUGUUAUUAGGGAAGAACAAACGUGUAAGUAACUGUGCACGUCUUGACGGUACCUAAUCAGAAAGCCACGGCUAACUACGUG
rnacentral:rRNA from 1 species